UGCACUUUAUUCAUCAAAUAGCUUUACUACAUAAAAAAAAAAAAAAAUAGUUUACUCCAACAUGGAAACCGAACAUUUUUCUUAUAUGUCAAAUAAUUCGUGUUAUCGACGAAUAAAUGUGAUUGAAAAACCGGGCCAUAACGAAAUGAACUGGCAACUUAGGAGUUGACUCGGUGAGUCAACUAUUUCAACUGAUUCAUGGUAUCGAGUUGAAAAUCCCAUCACUAAUGUUUAGGUAAUAAUUCAAUGAUAAUAAUUACCGCGCAUUUUCGGUGAACGAUCAAAUAGCGAUAGUGAGUGACAAUGUUAGUUGUUGGUAGAACGACGGGUACGAAUUAUGUCGUGCAAUCAUUAAGGAACGUGUCGUGUUUAAAACACACGAAACGAAAUGACACGGUGUGGAGGAGUUCCCCUAAGCAAUACGAUUGUAUGCGUCCGUCUGCUAGUGGAACGGUCCAUAAGCACGUACGUCGAUGUGAGCACUGUAAGCGUCCAGCCGGAACACAUCCAAGGACAAUAAUCGUUGGGAAGGAAC